ACCAAGGAGUCUAGCAUGUGCGCGAGUCAUUGGGACCGCACUAAACCUAAAGGCGAAAUGAAAGUGAAUGUCCGCCUCGCGCGGACAGAGGGAGGAUGGGCCGACCCCAGGGCGGCCCCGCACUCCCGGGGCGUCUCGUUCUCAUCGCGAGAUGAGGCGCACCCAGAGCGUACACGCUGGGACCCGAAAGAUGGUGAACUAUGCCUGGUCAGGACGAAGUCAGGGGAAACCCUGAUGGAGGUCCGUAGCGAUUCUGACGUGCAAAUCGAUCGUCGGAACUGGGUAUAGGGGCGAAAGACUAAUCGAACCAUCUAGUAGCUGGUUCCCUCCGAAGUUUCCCUCAGGAUAGCUGGCGCUCGCCGCGUGCGAGUCUCAUCCGGUAAAGCGAAUGAUUAGAGGCAUUGGGGUCGAAACGGCCUCAACCUAUUCUCAAACUUUAAAUGGGUGAGAUCUCCGGCUUGCUCGAACACGUGAAGCCGCGAGAUUUCGGAUCAGAGUGCCAAGUGGGCCACUUUUGGUAAGCAGAACUGGCGCUGUGGGAUGAACCAAACGCAGAGUUAAAGCGCCCAAAUCGACGCUUAUGGGAUACCAUGAAAGGCGUUGGUAACUUAAGACAGCAGG
rnacentral:rRNA from 1 species